rnacentral:rRNA from 1 species
UACGUAGGGUGCAAGCGUUAAUCGGAAUUACUGGGCGUAAAGCGUGCGCAGGCGGUUUUGUAAGUUUGUCGUGAAAGCCCCGGGCUCAACCUGGGAAUUGCGAUGAAGACUGCAAGGCUUGAAUCUGGCAGAGGGGGGUAGAAUUCCACGUGUAGCAGUGAAAUGCGUAGAGAUGUGGAGGAACACCGAUGGCGAAGGCAGCCCCCUGGGUUAACACUGACGCUCAGGCACGAAAGCGUGGGGAGCAAACAGG